rnacentral:rRNA from 1 species
CGAGUUUGAUCAUGGCUCAGAUUGAACGCUGGCGGCAGGCCUAACACAUGCAAGUCGAGCGAAUCCUUCGGGGUUAGCGGCGGACGGGUUAGUAACGCGUGGGAACGUGCCCAAAGGUACGGAAUAGCCCCGGGAAACUGGGAGUAAUACCGUAUGUGCUCUACGGAGGAAAGAUUUAUCGCCUUUGGAUCGGCCCGCGUUGGAUUAGGUAGUUGGUGGGGUAAUGGCCCACCAAGCCGACGAUCCAUAGCUGGUUUGAGAGGAUGAUCAGCAACACUGGGACUGAGACACGGCCCAGACUCCUACGGGAGGCAGCAGUGGGGAAUCUUAGACAAUGGGGGAAACCCUGAUCUAGCCAUGCCGCGUGAGCGAUGAAGGCCUUAGGGUUGUAAAGCUCUUUCAGCUGGGAAGAUAAUGACGGUACCAGCAGAAGAAGCCCCGGCUAACUCCGUG